rnacentral:rRNA from 1 species
UACGAAGGGGGCUAGCGUUGUUCGGAUUUACUGGGCGUAAAGCGCACGUAGGCGGAUUGUUAAGUCAGGGGUGAAAUCCCGGAGCUCAACUCCGGAACUGCCUUUGAUACUGGGACAUCUAGAGUCCGGGAGAGGUGAGUGGAACUCUGAGUGUAGAGGUGAAAUUCGUAGAUAUUAGGCAAGAACACCAGUGGCGAAGGCGGCUCACUGGCCCGGUACUGACGCUGAGGUGCGAAAGCGUGGGGAG